rnacentral:tRNA from 1 species
GCGAACGUGGCGGAAUUGGCAGACGCGCUGGAUUUAGGUUCCAGUACCGCAAGGUGUGGGGGUUCGACUCCCCCCGUUCGCACCA